AUAAGUAUUUAAAGUAUUUUAAACAAGUUCAUGGCCUUUUUUCACAUGGCGAACAAAAGUAACUGUUUGGCAAGUGAGAUUCAGUUUGAUUAAUGGAAAAGGUUGUACGAGCCAAACUGGGCCCAGUGAAAUGAAAGCUGAGUCAUUUCUUCCAUCAGUAGAUCAACAGGUAAUAAAUGAUAACGUGGUGCAGCUUGCCAACGUCACGCCAGUUCGAAGAUUUAACCAUUCUGUUUAUAGAUACGUCAGCCGGAAAAUUGACUGGCCCGACUCUACGUGCGACUACUCUGUAACAAUUAGCAUAACAUUACAUGUUUGCGAUGGUGUAACCCGAAUGACAUCCUUUAUUUCUAAAAGAAACUGAUUACGUAUCUAAGUGGGCACGAGAAAUCACGCUUAGUGACACCGAUGGUAUCAGCAAUAACUACCAACUGGUGGCCCUGAACACUCAUUUACACGAUAAUACCACAGAAUUCAAGCGUAGGACUGUUUCCUUUUAAGGUUAACAAAAGUAAGCUGAUAAAACAA